rnacentral:lncRNA from 1 species
GACAUCUCCACAUCUGGGUUUUCAUUGCUGUGGAUCGAAUUCAAGAUGCCAAAAUUCUAACAAUCUUCACCUUGACUCAACAUUUGGCUUCCACCUAACUUUGAGAGCUUCUAGAUCUUUUCACCCCCAUAUCCUAGGGCAAACACCUUGUAACACCCCACCCCUAAUUACCGAGCGAGAGUGCUACACCCCACCUUUAAAUAAGAGUGAAUCCACCCUUAGAUAAGGGCAAAGA